rnacentral:rRNA from 1 species
UACGUAGGCAGCGAGCGUUGUUCGGAGUUACUGGGCGUAAAGGGUGCGUAGGCGGUUGUUUAAGUUUGGUGUGAAAUCUCCCGGCUCAACUGGGAGGGUGCGCCGAAUACUGAAUGACUAGAGUGCGGGAGAGGAGAGUGGAAUUCCAGGUGUAGCGGUGAAAUGCGUAGAUAUCUGGAAGAACACCAGUGGCGAAGGCGGCUCACUGGCUGUAACUGACGCUCAUGCACGACAGCGUGGGGAUCAACAGG